rnacentral:rRNA from 1 species
UACGGAGGGGGCGAGCGUUGUUCGGAAUUACUGGGCGUAAAGCGUACGUAGGCGGUCUUUCAAGUCAGGAGUGAAAUCCCAGGGCUCAACCCUGGAACUGCUCUUGAAACUAGAAGACUGGAGUCCCGGAGAGGUUGGCGGAAUUCCGAGUGUAGAGGUGAAAUUCGCAGAUAUUCGGAGGAACAUCAGUGGCGAAGGCGGCCAACUGGACGGGUACUGACGCUGAGGUACGAAAGCGUGGGGAGCAAACAGG